CAGUAGCGGCGAGCGAAGCGGGAAAAGCCCGGGAUGAAAAUCUCUUCGGAGACUUGUAUUCCGUGUGUCCUUGGGUGGUCAGUGCGGGCAAGUUGUCUGGGAUGACGCGCCAUGGAGGGUGAGAGCCCCGUCCAACCCGCACAGGAUCCAUUCGUACGAGGACACUUCAAACUGAGUCGGGUAGCUUGGGAAUGCUGCUCUAAUUGGUGGUAAAUCUCAUCAAAGGCUAAAUAAAAGUGGGAGACCGAUAGCGAACAAGUACCGUGAGGGAAAGAUGGAAAGUACUUUGAAAAGAGAGUGAAAAGCACUUGAAACCGUCAUGGGGGAAGCGAAUUGCGUUAGUGAUGGAUUGGCCUGUUCAGCUCAAAAUAUUUAUUGAGUGUAUUCUGGCUUUUCCGCGCUUGUGUGGCUGGUGCGAGUACAAGGAGGGUGUGAAGGGGGGAAUUUUUGUUUUUCUGUUCUACAUCAUUUGUCGGUACUUUGCGCUGGUGAGGGCUCCCCGCAAGGGUGAGGACACGAGCGAAAUGACGCAAUACGACCCGUCUUGAAACACGGACCAAGGAGUCUAGCACGGCUGCGAGUCGAAGGGUAAUUUUUUAUGAAAAACCUAGAGGGCGCAGUGAAAGCAACUAUGUUGGAGCAAUCUAACGACAAAGCAAAUUGGGGAGGCGUUGCGGUUUUACCAACAUGUCCUACCUUGAGCAUCUGUGCUGGGACCCGAAAGAUGGUGAACUAUGCCGGAGUAGGGCAAAGCCAGAGGAAACUCUGGUGGAGGCUCGUAGCGAUGCUGACGUGCAAAUCGCUCGUCGAACUUGGGUAUAGGGGCGAAAGACUAAUCGAACCAUCUAGUAGCUGGUUCCCUCCGAAGUUUCUCUCAGGAUAGCGGGCCGACACAUUUUUUUUUAAAAGUUGUUUUGUGCGGUAAAGCGAAUGAUUAGUGCAUUUGGGGGCCGAAGGCCUUCAGGCGAUUCUCAAACUUUAAAUGCGCAAGGGGGCGGCUGCUUAAUUUGAGCCUGCUCUUCGAAAAACGUCGGCUCCGUGGGCCACUUUUGGUAAGCAGAACUGGCGAUAAGGGAUGAACCUUAAGCGCGGUUAAGGCGCCGCAUUGCCCGCUUAUAGACCCCACAAAAGGUGUUGAUUCAUAUAGACAGCAGGACGGUGGCCAUGGAAGUCGGAAUCCGCUAAGGAGUGUGUAACAACUCACCUGCCGAAUGAAUUAGCCCUGAAAAUGGAUGGCGCUGAAGCGGGCAGCCGACACCGCGCCGUUCAGGCGAGACAACAUGUCUGAAUGAGUAGGAGGGCGUGGCGGUCCGUGACGCAGGCGAGGGUGCAAACCCCGCUGAAACGGCCGCUAGUGCAGAUCUUGGUGGUAGUAGCAAAUAUUCAAGCGAGAUCCUUGAAGGGCGAAGCGGGGGAAGGGUUCCAUGCGAACAUUGAUUGGGCGUGGGUGAGUC
rnacentral:rRNA from 1 species